rnacentral:rRNA from 1 species
CGGCCUAUACAUGCAAGUCGAACGAACUCUGGGUAUUGAUUGGUGCUUGCAUCAUGAUUUACAUUUGAGUGAGUGGCGAACUGGUGAGUAACACGUGGGAAACCUGCCCAGAAGCGGGGGAUAACACCUGGAAACAGAUGCUAAUACCGCAUAACAACUUGGACCGCAUGGUCCGAGCUUGAAAGAUGGCUUCGGCUAUCACUUUUGGAUGGUCCCGCGGCGUAUUAGCUAGAUGGUGGGGUAACGGCUCACCAUGGCAAUGAUACGUAGCCGACCUGAGAGGGUAAUCGGCCACAUUGGGACUGAGACACGGCCCAAACUCCUACGGGAGGCAGCAGUAGGGAAUCUUCCACAAUGGACGAAAGUCUGAUGGAGCAACCCCGCGUGAAGUGAAGAAGGGUUUCGGCUCGUAAAACUCUGUUGUUAAAGAAGAACAUAUCUGAGAGUAACUGUUCAGGUAUUGACGGUAUUUAACCAGAAAGCCACGGCUAACUACGUGCCAGCAGCCGCGGUAAUACGUAGGUGGCAAGCGUUGUCCGGAUUUAUUGGGCGUAAAGCGAGCGCAGGCGGUUUUUUAAGUCUGAUGUGAAAGCCUUCGGCUCAACCGAAGAAGUGCAUCGGAAACUGGGAAACUUGAGUGCAGAAGAGGACAGUGGAACUCCAUGUGUAGCGGUGAAAUGCGUAGAUAUAUGGAAGAACACCAGUGGCGAAGGCGGCUGUCUGGUCUGUAACUGACGCUGAGGCUCGAAAGUAUGGGUAGCAAACAGGAUUAGAUACCCUGGUAGUCCAUACCGUAAACGAUGAAUGCUAAGUGUUGGAGGGUUUCCGCCCUUCAGUGCUGCAGCUAACGCAUUAAGCAUUCCGCCUGGGGAGUACGGCCGCAAGGCUGAAACUCAAAGGAAUUGACGGGGGCCCGCACAAGCGGUGGAGCAUGUGGUUUAAUUCGAAGCUACGCGAAGAACCUUACCAGGUCUUGACAUACUAUGCAAAUCUAAGAGAUUAAGACGUUCCCUUCCGGGACAUGGAUACAGGUGGUGCAUGGGUGUCCUCACCUCCUGUCCUGGAAAUGUUGGGUUAAAUCCCGCAACAAACGCAACCCUUAUUAUCAGUUGCCACCAUUAAGUUGGGCACUCUUGGUGAAAACUCGCCGGUGACAAACCGGAGGAAGGUGGGGAUGACGUCAAAUCAUCAUGCCCCUUAUGACCUGGGCUACACACGUGCUACAAUGGAUGGUACAACGAGUUGCGAACUCGCGAGAGUAAGCUAAUCUCUUAAAGCCAUUCUCAGUUCGGAUUGUAGGCUGCAACUCGCCUACAUGAAGUCGGAAUCGCUAGUAAUCGCGGAUCAGCAUGCCGCGGUGAAUACGUUCCCGGGCCUUGUACACACCGCCCGUCACACCAUGAGAGUUUGUAACACCCAAAGUCGGUGGGGUAACCUUUUAGGAACCAGCCGCCUAAGGUGGGACAGAUGAUUAGGGUGAAGUCGNACAAGUGC